CAUACACACACGAACACACGCACACAUGCGCACACACACACACGCACACACAACACAGGAGCUAAAAGGGCUAGACAACUUGGAAAGGGGAAAAGAAGAAAAGUUACUUCUUUACUUCUAGAGAAACUAAUGUCUGAGCAAGUUAGGCAAGUGACACUGACAAUUACGUCACUAAGUUGGCUUAGUAAACCACAACUGAUAGGCCACCUGCCGUGCACGUAAUUAAGUAACUGCUGCAUCAGACAACCACCUCCAGCAGACGGGAGUGGCUUUCCAUCAGGGUCCCUCUGAGUCAGUGUGCUUCUAAUAGCACACCCAACCAUUACACAGCAGCCGUCAUUAGUAACAGUCCAAUUGCUCUACGGCUCUAAGGAAGGCAACCUGCCCUUCGCUCUGAGUUCAAGGGCACAGUGUCUGUGUCUCCAGUUAUGGGUGUGUAGAGCCUCAGUGACAAUUAUCUGGACGUUCAAGAGGAGCCAACCGUUUUUAGAAACAGGAGUGAUGGUCAACCUUGACUGUCAGUCUGACGAGACUGACAAUCUCCCUGGAAAUGCAUCACACACACAUGGGCAUCAAUACGGGUCUUUCUAGACUGCUAACUCAGAUGGAGACUCGCCCUGUGUUGGUGGAACCAUUCCAUGGGCUGGGAAAUGGCUCAGCAGCAGAGUGCUUGCUGCACAAACAAGACACCUGUUUGCAGAUCUCCAACCCCACAUAAUAACCAAACAGCAAGAGUGCACACGUGUGCCCCAGCCCGGGGUAGGUGGACACUCGUGUGCCCCAGCCCGGGGUAGGUGGAAACAGGCAGAUCCCUGGAGCCCACUAUCAACCAAAUCGAUGAACCCCCAGGACUAAUGAGAAACCCUAUCUUAAAAACUAAGGUGCAGGGCUAGAGAGACGGAUCCGCCGUUAGGAGCACUGGCCGCCCUUGCAGAGGGACUCUAACAUCUUCUGGUCUCCGAGCACCAGGAGAGGUGUUGCAGGAGUCUUUCUUGAAGAAGCACUCUGACACCAAUGAUAGCAGCAAAGAGAUGUUACGGAUGGAUGGAAGCCAGAACAGGAGAUACCACAGACGGACAGAAGCCAGGACAGCUCUGGAAAGGUCUCGAUCCCAGGUUCAAGUUGUAUUCUCACUUUAUACUCUAAAACCACAAGGUGGGCGGCGAGCCAGCAAGCAGGAUCUUACAGAAGCCCACAUGGCAGUGAGGAGGCUGUUAAGGGCAACGCCCAUUUCUCAGCUGCUUCUCCAGGUCAUCCUGUUCCAGGUGGCAAGUGAGUCAUGCUUGGCAAAUGGGCAGAACAAGCAGGGCUUUGAGUACAUUACUGAAUACAUCAGUAAAUCAGUGUCUAGUAAUUGGUCUUUCUACUUAUUCUACCUCAGAGGCAGGAAAUGGUUCACAGAAUAUAAAGUAAGACUGCUCGGCUCAUGACUUACAAAACAAUAACAAAAGAAAACAAGCUGGGUUUGGUGGCUCCCAUCUGCAACCCCAGUAUUCGGGAGGCAGAGGCAGGACUAGGAGCUAGGCGUGUCCUCAGCUAUAGACCCUGUCCCCAAAUAAAGAAACGGAACCAAAGAUUUGGGAGGCGAGACGACAGGUAUGCAAGUGAGAGGUGUCACUACUACUUUGUUGGUGGUGGUGUUUAUCUUUUAUUUUAAACCCUGACCAACAUUUCCCCUCCUCCUCUCCUCCCAGCCCUCUUUACCUCCCCUCUACCCACAACUACUUUCUUUUAAAGUUCGAUAUUUUCCGUUAUUAAAAAAAAAAGUAAAACAAAACAGAAAGGUAGGCAAGCAAGCCCACGCUUGUUUCUGGGUCUCAGGUUGAGGCUUCAGUUCUUACGAAGGGUAAGCUAUCACUGCUGUCUACACAGCUAAUCUAGUCAGUAACCCUGAGUGACAUCAAAUUCUGAGGCUGACAAACGCUGCAGCUGAAGAGAGGGUACCAAGUCUAACUCAUCCUCAAAGUGAAAUAACCCACGCCUGUGGGGCUGGCUGUAACUCAAAGUGAAAUAACCCACGCCUCUGGGGCUGGGCUGUAGCUUGGCUGGUAUGGGGCUCGCCUCGCCUCGUGCACAUCAACCCCAGCUCUGCAUGAAGCCUACGGGAGCACCAAACCCCUGCAGCCCCACCGUUUCCAGGCAGAGCAGAAGGACAGACAGUAGUGCCCGCAGGCCUGGACUACACGAUACCCCACCUCCAAACACAAAACGAAACCUUACCAGGCUAUGUAACAACAUUACCUACCCCCAGCAGCAGGGCAAUGAAACCGUUCUGGAGGGCUGUUACCAUUUAAGGACAAUGGCAUUAACUUCGAAGAUGAAUGCAAAGGCGUAAUGCCACCCAUCCGCCUAUCUCACUCACCAGUAUGCCUGCAACCACGGAGGCCACGGCGUUCCUUCUCUCACUCCAGUCGACACACUCACACUCUGGCCAUCGGAAGUUAUCCAGGAAGCCUGCCAUCUUUACCCUGUGAGCAUGGAUUUGUCAUUAAAUGAUGCUUCCUGCAAGACAAAAAAUAAUCAAGUUAAAUACUUUCUAAA